GUUGCAGGAUCUCACGGGCUUUAAACUGCGGCUCCGCGGCGCGCGGGUGCGGAUCCCCAGAUGGGAGCUGGGGAUGGGUUGGUUGCCCGGCGGGUGGCAAGUUGCCGCCUCGGGCCCCGGAGACCUUCACCCCGCCGCCUACCCAGGCGGGCCGGCCCUGCCCGUCCACCGGCGGCCGAGAGUCCCCGGCCUUGGGCCCCAGGAGCCGCUGACUGGCCUCGGUCAACUCUCGGGGAAGACUCCCGCGUCUCCAUCUGCCCCAGGAAGGGACCCGCUUCUCGCCCGCGAGGCUUCUCCAGGUGGGAUCGCCCUGGCCCCCGGCCCUAAGGGACCCGCCCCCUCCGAGCAUCCACCGCCCCUCGGAGACCACUCCAGCUCAGAGGGACCCACUCCAGCCACCGCUGCACGCGGGAGCUCUCAUCCUUCCCACCUGCUCCGUCCCUCCUCCUCCUCCUGUGGGACCACCAGAGACCCCAGCUCCCCGCUCCCCAAGUGUGGGGCCUCCGACGCGAACGCCUCUGCUCGCAAGGCGGUGAGCGCAGAUCCCACGGGGCCCUCGGUCGGGGGUCAAGGCUGCCUCCGUUUCCAUCCCGGACCCGACAAUGGGCCGGAAAAAGACUUUGCACGACUGCGCGGCGGAGUUCACCGACCUGGUGGUGUAGCAGCCCCUGACUGAGCACAGUGACUCUGGGGACACGUCUGUGGUGGAGACUCUUUCCUGCACGGCCUGCGAGCUGCCUAUGCGCGUGCCCAGGGACCGCAUCCCGGAGCACCUGUCCUCGGGCAGGCACUACAGGAACCGCAGACUCAUCCGCAGCACGGCCUGCGGACGCCCAUUCUCGUCUCGGCCGCCUCGGAUCUCACUGCCACCGGCCUUCACGCACACCCUCGCCACCAGCCUUUGGCCCGUCAGCCUCAGCCCCAGCUCAUUCCCUCAGGCAGUCCCAGCAUUGGCAUGGUACCUCCUCCCGCCGUGGGCCUCACGUCUCUGCUCCCUGUCAACCCUACUGCCAUCAGCAUCACCACAAGCGACUUGUCUGCCCAGGAGGAUGCAACACCAUCUACCUCCACCGGCCACCUUUCAGUGUUUUCUGCUUUCCAAGUAAAGACACCAGCAGUGCCCUCGGAGCGGACCAGCCAGAGAUUUUCGGAAGCCUCCCAUAGGCUCCUCCGUGGAGGAGGCCUGAGAUGGUGUCAUGACUUUGGAGCCAGGGUGGCCGACCACCUUGGCCUGGCCAUCUUUGGGGUGGGCUUUGGGAGCCCAGCACUGCUGCCAAGUGUGGUGGAUGAGAACGGCUGCUGCUUGCUGUACGUGGUGGAGCUGUGUGGCGUGGAGCGAGCCUUCAGAGCUGAGCAUUUGGCCAACACCAGAGUGGUUCGGGAACAGGAUGCCGACAUUGUCCUCAACGACCAGCGCGUCUCUGGAGUAGUUGUCUGCUCCCCGCCGGAGGCAGCUUCUGAAAUCGUGAUGCAUGCUCUCCGAGCAGAUAUGGCUGCCUUAAAAGAUGCAGACACUGUUAUGAUCAGCAUCAAGUUUCCCUGUGGGGCUAUGGUCAGCGUGGACGUCAGCCAGCACCGUACAGACAGCUGUGACCAGGGAUUGGAGGUGCGUGGGUCCCAAGGCGCGCUGCAGAUGGAGAAUCAGAAUCCCUUGGGCAUCACCGGGUGGGGCACGUCCCUGUCCCUCGGCUCCCAGACCCAGGCUAGCCGCUACCAGGACUCGAGAGCUCUUCAGCUACUUUGUCAGAACCCUUAAAGGGAAAGAACCUCCUGAAAUCACCAAAGAGCAGUUCCUCAGGGCCUUCCGCGUGGCUGCGGCCGCGGAGCAGUCGUGGUGGAGCCGGUCAGCUGUGGCCCUGCCCUGCGAAUCGGCAGAGGCCUCCGUGGUGAAGACAGAAGCUCCGUGAACCAACCCGAGGCUGGAGACAAGAUCCUGCCCAAUAUCCAGUUGCCUGUUUCUCUUCUCACUGUUACUGAGAGAGGGAGACAGAACCUUCUGGCGAUCUUGUCCUCACUGGAGACUCAGAACAGGAAGCAUUGGGAAACCAUGUGUGUUUCAUUUCUGGUGCGACCAGGCUUUUCAGGAUGUGACUUCAGACUGAGGACACAAGUUGGGCUUGCUUAGCUGUUUUGUGUUGCGCGCCGGCCGCAGAGAUGCUCUUCCCGUCAGAGUUCCCUUGGCAGGGCCUCGGAGGCCUCUGGUUGGCUGUCUCAGGAAGAGGGCAGGUCAGGGAUUGGACAGUGUAAAUUGACCCAGACCUGCGGUUUCAGCUUUUCUGUGGCAAACAGGGCCGAGGGCUGGUGAAGCUGUUAAGACUAAAUGUGGCAUGCAUGAGGCAGACUGCAGGCCUCCUUAGGCCUUUUUUGGGAGUAAUUACACCAGUAUUUAAAAACAUUUUUUUUUGUUUGUUUUGAGACGGAGUCUCGCCCUGUCACCCAGGCUGGAGUGCAGUGGUGCAAUCUCGGCUCACUGCAACCUCUGCCUCCAGGGUUCAAGUGAUUCAUCUGCCUCAGCCUUCUGAGUAGCUGGGAUUACAGGCAUGCGCCACCACGCCCGGCUAAUUUUUGUGUUUUUAGUAGAGAUGGGGUUUCACCAUGUUGGCCAGGCUGGUCUCGAACUACUGACCUCAUGAUCCACCUGCCACGGCCUCCCAAAGUGCUGGGAUUACAGGCGUGAGCCACCGUGCUCGGCCUAAAAAACAAUUUUCUUGAAGAAUCUGAUUUUGUGCAUAGUAAUGACACAGCACCAUUCCAGAGA
ensembl:lncRNA